CGGUUCGUGAAUCAAUGAGUGU
rnacentral:snRNA from 1 species